rnacentral:rRNA from 1 species
UACGUAGGGUGCGAGCGUUAAUCGGAUUUACUGGGCGUAAAGGGCGCGUAGGCGGUUUAGCAAGUCAGGUGUAAAAGACCACGGCUCAACCGUGGAGGUGCACCUGAAACUGCUAGGCUAGAGGGCAGGAGAGGGGAGUGGAAUUCCCGGUGUAGCGGUGAAAUGCGUAGAUAUCGGGAGGAAUACCAGUGGCGAAGGCGACUCCCUGGACUGGCCCUGACGCUGAGGCGCGAGAGCGUGGGGAGCAAACAGG